rnacentral:rRNA from 1 species
GCGUGCCUUUUGCAUAAUGAGUCAGCGAGUUAUUUAACGUAGCGAGGUUAAGCCGUUAGGUGAAGCCGAAGCGAGAGCGAGUCUGAAUAGGGCGCUAAAAGUUGCGUUGAGUAGACCCGAAACCAGGUGAUCUAUCCAUGUCCAGGGUGAAGCGUGAGUAAAGUUGCGUGGAGGCCCGAACCGAUACAGGUUAAAAACUGUUCGGAUGAGGUGUGGAUAGGGGUGAAAGGCCAAACAAACCUGGAGAUAGCUGGUUCUCUCCGAAAUAUAUUUAGGUAUAGCCUCACAUGUUUCUUAUAGGGGGUAGAGCACUGGAUGGGCUAGGGGUCUCACCAGAUUACCAAACCUAACCAAACUCCGAAUACUUAAUAAGUGAUAAUGUGGGAGUCAGCCCGCGAGAGCUAAGUUCUGCGGACGAGAGGGAAACAACCCGGAGCACCAACUAAGGUCCCUAAUUAUAUGCUAAGUGGGAAAGGAUGUGGAAAUGCCCAGACAACCAGGAUGUUGGCUUAGAAGCAGCCAUCAUUUAAAGAAAGCGU